UAAACUAUCUGAAUAAUUAAAUUUCACGCUUUUCUGAGUUACGAUCAUGUCGAAGUGAACUAUAGAUGAGAGGGUUUUCAUAAAAUUUUAUUUUAUUGUUAACAAUAAAUUUUCAAUUAAAAAAAUUUUGUUUAAGCAGAUCAUAUAAGUAAUACUCUAAUAUAGAGAAUUUUGAUAUCAAAAUAUUUUUAGCAUGAGAUAUGUGAGUUAUUUAAAUAAAAUUUUUAAAAAUAAAUCUUUAAAUAGUUAAUGUUGAAUUCUACUAUAGACAAAUUGCAUUAUAACUAUGUAUAAUUUAAAAGCGAAAAAUCAUAAUGAGAUUUAACUAUCACACUUAAUUGACUGGAUCUUUAAUUGUAAUAUUUUAGAAAUAAUGUUAAAUUAUUAUGUGAUUCAAAUGUUAAAAAUUGAUCAUAUAAUUAAUCUUAAAUAUUAAAUGUUUAAAUUGUUGCUAGGGGUAAAAUUGGUAUUUACAAAAUAUUGGACGUCCAUUUGACUGAAAGUUAAGCUAAAGGGUAUCUGUGAAUAUUUUUGGGUUUUAGAGGGGUAUUGAUGAUAUUUUUCAGUUUAGAGGGUUAUCCAUGAAAUUAUGAUUUUUCAGAGGGGUAUUGAUGAAAUUAUUCCUAAAAUUUAUAUCCGAAUUCAUAUUUAUCAAAUUUUUAUUUUUAAUAUUUAUAUCAAAAUUCAUAUCCGUUUAGCAUGAAAUAUAUCCACUUCAUUCAGAUUCGGUUCACACGAAGUUUCGAAUAUCCGUACAUAUUAGCAUUCCUACUCAC
rnacentral:lncRNA from 1 species